rnacentral:tRNA from 2 species
CCUUUUAGGGAGACCUAAUCCAUUGAGAUAUCGAACACAAUUAGUAAUUAGAUUCUUAAUUGGUCUAUCCUAGGUCGGUCGCAGACUUGAAGUAAGGCUUUCAAACUGUAAUUUGGUUCAUUAAGGGCUAUUAGCUCAGGUGGUUAGAGCGCACCCCUGAUAAGGGUGAGGUCCCUGGUUCGAGUCCAGGAUGGCCCACCUGAAAAUAAUUGGUAAUUGCUAAUUUGUGAUUCGUAAUUAAACGCAUACGAGUUAGGGAUUACGGAUUACAAAUUAUUGGAUGGGGGUUUAGCUCAGUUGGUAGAGCGCCUGCUUUGCAAGCAGGAUGUCAGCGGUUCGAGUCCGCUAACCUCCACAUUGGAAAAGAGUCAGCAACUGACGGGAGAGUCAGACUGCUGGGUUAGAACCAGUCAGAACCUUGAAAACUGCAUAGUAACGCGAAUUAGCAGGCAGACACAGACAUCCGAAAGGAAAGUGAAUGCAAGUCGAAAAUGAAAAGU